GACGAACGCUGGCGGCGUGCUUAACACAUGCAAGUCGAACGGUGAAGCGCCUUCCUUUUUGGUGGGUGUGGAUGAGUGGCGAACGGGUGAGUAACACGUGAGUAACCUGCCCCCUUCUUCUGGAUAACCGCAUGAAAGUGUGGCUAAUACGGGAUAUUCUGGGUCUGUCGCAUGAUGGGUCUGGGAAAGAUAUUGUUUCGGUGGGGGAUGGGCUCUCGGCCUAUCAGCUUGUUGGUGGGGUGAUGGCCUACCAAGGCGGUGACGGGUAGCCGGCCUGAGAGGGUGGACGGUCACACUGGGACUGAGACACGGCCCAGACUCCUACGGGAGGCAGCAGUGGGGAAUAGUGCACAAUGGGCGAAAGCCUGAUGCAGCGACGCCGCGUGAGGGAUGGAGGCCUUCGGGUUGUGAACCUCUUUCGCCAGUGAAGCAGGCCUGCCUCGUUUGUGGGUGGGUUGACGGUAGCUGGAUAAGAAGCGCCGGCUAACUACGUG
rnacentral:rRNA from 1 species